AACGAACGCUGGCGGCAUGCCUAACACAUGUAAGUCGAACGAGACCUUCGGGUCUAGUGGCGCACGGGUGCGUAACGCGUGGGAACCUGCCUUUAGGUUCGGAAUAACUCAGAGAAAUUUGAGCUAAUACCGGAUGAUGUCUUCGGACCAAAGAUUUAUCGCCUUUAGAUGGGCCCGCGUUGGAUUAGCUAGUUGGUGGGGUAAAGGCCUACCAAGGCGACGAUCCAUAGCUGGUCUGAGAGGAUGAUCAGCCACACUGGGACUGAGACACGGCCCAGACUCCUACGGGAGGCAGCAGUGGGGAAUAUUAGACAAUGGGCGAAAGCCUGAUCAAGCAAUGCCGCGUGAGUGAUGAAGGCCUUAGGGUUGUAAAGCUCUUUUACCCGAGAUGAUAAUGACAGUAUCGGGAGAAUAAGCUCCGGCUAACUCCGUG
rnacentral:rRNA from 1 species